rnacentral:rRNA from 1 species
UACGUAGGGUGCGAGCGUUAAUCGGAAUUACUGGGCGUAAAGUGUGCGCAGGCGGCCGCGCAAGUCGAGUGUGAAAGCCCCGAGCUUAACUUGGGAAUUGCGCUCGAAACUACGUGGCUGGAGUGUGGCAGAGGAAGGUGGAAUUCCACGUGUAGCGGUGAAGUGCGUAGAGAUGUGGAGGAACACCAAUGGCGAAGGCAGCCUUCUGGGCCAACACUGACGCUCAUGCACGAAAGCGUGGGGAGCAAACAGG